ensembl:lncRNA
GUUAGGGUUAGGGUUAGGGUUAGGGUUAGGGAUAGGGUUAGGUUUACGGUUAGGGUUAGGGUUUGGGUAGGGUUAGUGUUAGGGUUAAGUUUAGGGUUAGGGUUAGGGUUAGGGUUAGUUUUGGAUGGGUUAGGGUUAGGGUUAGGUUUAGGGUUAGGGUUAGGGUUUGGUUUAGGGUUAGGGUUAGCGUUAGGGUUUUGGGUUAGGGUUAGGGUUAGUGUUAGGGUGUUGUGCAAAUAAUUAACUCGAAAAACAAACAAACAAGCAAACAAAAAAACACACCUGUGGGAAUACACGAAAAACUGUUCAGAGCAGAAGCUAUGUAGCAAGAUAAACUGCAUGAGAACCAAGGACAUCUCUAGAAAAAGAAAGAAUGGCUCACAGCUCUGAUUGGAUAAGCGUCCACAAGAACGGUUGAAGAGCGUUUGUAGAAUACUUUGUUGACAUGUAAAGGUGGAUGGGAAAGUUGUAGGGGUGGAUGGGAAAGCUAGAAAAAGAAAACUUGUGAAGGUAUAUAAGUGAUGUGAGAACUUGUAAUAAAUGAUUUGGAUCGUUCACAUCUGUGUCUGUGCAUCAGGCACUGCACAGACCCAAAUUAGGAAGCUGCAGACAAGCAGCUUUUCCAAAUAAACUAAUUAAUGUCAAUAGUAAUGACAGUGAUUUUUAAAAAUUUCUUGCAAGUAGAUGAACUUUCAUUCCUUGGAGAGUUGACUGUAGAGACGUUCUGAUGAGAUCUAUAAUAUAUAUCAGUGUCAUUAGUUAAUUGAGCAGUUACUGGAAUGCAUGUAGUAAUACACAAAGGUUUUGUUUCGAGAUUAACUUGCCAUCUUUGUGGCCCUACUCCUCAUAAGACUUUUGCUCCACACCCUUCACCAGCUUCAUUGCUAUUCUCUGGACAUGCUCCAGGGCCUCAAUAUUUUCUUGUACUGAAUGGCUCAAAACUGAACACAGUACUUGGGUGCAGCCUCAUCAGUGCCAAGUACAGAAGGAUGAUCACCUCUCUAGUCCUUUCCUUAUUGGUCACCUGGGCAUGCUGCUCUCGUGUUCAUCCAGCUUUUGACUAAUACCCCCAGAUUCUUUUCCGUGGUGCAGCU